UGGGGAAUUUUGCGCAAUGGACGAAAGUCUGACGCAGCAACGCCGCGAGGGUGAUGAAGGUCUUCGGAUCGUAAAACCCUGUCGUCAGGGACGACGGGUUGGGGCCUAAUACGCCUUGACUUUGACGGUACCUGGAGAGGAAGCCCCGGCUAACUCUGUGCCAGCAGCCGCGGUAAUACAGAGGGGGCAAGCGUUAUUCGGAAUUAUUGGGCGUAAAGGGCGCGUAGGCGGUUCUUUAAGUCGGAUGUGCAAUCCCCGAGCUCAACUUGGGAACUGCAUCCGAAACUGGAGAGCUAUGGUGCUGGAGAGGGUGGUGGAAUUCCACGUGUAGCGGUGAAAUGCGUAGGGAUGUGGAGGAGCACCAGUGGCGAAGGCGGCCACCUGGACAGUAACUGACGCUGAGGCGCGAAAGUGUGGGGAGCAAACA
rnacentral:rRNA from 1 species